rnacentral:lncRNA from 1 species
AGCUGAUGGAAGGUCCAUGUGAUUCACAUAGAGAGGUUCUCAAGGCCAGAUUUCUCCCCAGUAUGGAAGACUCAAAUGAAUGAUUCACUGUGGAUAUUCUGAAGGGACACAGCUAGAACCAAACUGUGCUGAGGUCAAUGCAGGAUGAAGGUGGGAGAUGUACUUAAACACCGACUGCCAGGAAGGUCUUUUCCAUUUGGUAGUGAUCAGAUGUCAGCCAGACCAUCUCCGGGGAUGAGCUGU